AGAAACGUAGCGAUUACAAUGCAGACGUGUGUGCCCAAGGAAGCCAGACUGGCAGAAGAAUCAAAAGGAUCAGAUGAAACACCGGUGAAAGACUUCCUUAUGUGGGACUGUGACAGGAGCCUCCAUGAGAGCCCAAACACAAUAGCCGCGGCCGCGAAUAGUAGGAAACAGCCGGUCAAUUUGCUGGGCGAAGUGUCGCGGAUGACUGUAAUUGACACAGCCAAGAACCCGGUGAAGGUGACUUUUGUCAGUUCCAGCGAAGCCGGUGUGGACUCAUCACCUGCGGGGGCGUUGUUGAUGGGAAGGGGUGGUACAUGUUCUCUUGGUGGUACAUCGAAGGCGACAAGUGUUUUUGGGGACAACGAGCUGGGCGAUGAAGCAGGUGAGGAUGAGGAGGGAACAAGAGGAAAGGGUUGCCAGGAUAGCGGUAACCGGGACAGGGCUGACGAAUAUCCCGGAGAACCAGCAGACGAGAAAGGGGCAGAUACCGAUUAUCAAAGUGAUAGCUGCCAUGCCGAGCAUGGCAAAGAAAGCGUGGUGUCCAUACACUUUGACGUCGACCUUGUCGAGAGCAAUUGCUACAAGCACUGGGCAUACCAUAACCACCACUCCUUCGGCAAAGCCAGCAAAACGCUUCUUCAGUUCAUC
rnacentral:rRNA from 1 species